rnacentral:rRNA from 1 species
CAGUCGCCGCGGUAAUACGGAGGGUGCAAGCGUUAAUCGGAAUUACUGGGCGUAAAGCGUGCGUAGGCGGUUCGUUAAGUCUGUUGUGAAAGCCCCGGGCUCAACCUGGGAAUGGCAAUGGAUACUGGCGAGCUAGAGUGUGUCAGAGGAUGGUGGAAUUCCCGGUGUAGCGGUGAAAUGCGUAGAGAUAUGGAGGAAUACCGAUGGCGAAGGCAGCCCCCUGGGCCAAUACUGACGCUCAUGCACGAAAGCGUGGGGAGCAAACAGGAUUAGAUACCCCCGUAGUCCCUGUCUCUUAUAC